GCCUGACUGGCUCAGUCGGUAGGGGGCGUGCGACUCUUGAUCUCGGGGUUGUGGGUUCAAGCCCCAUGCUGGGUG
rnacentral:tRNA from 1 species